UACAGAGGGUGCGAGCGUUGUUCGGAAUUAUUGGGCGUAAAGCGCGUGUAGGCGGCUUUGCAAGUCGGGUGUGAAAGCCCUCAGCUCAACUGAGGAAGUGCGCCCGAAACUGCAGAGCUUGAGUACCGGAGAGGAUGGCGGAAUUCCCCAAGUAGAGGUGAAAUUCGUAGAUAUGGGGAGGAACACCGGUGGCGAAGGCGGCCAUCUGGACGGAUACUGACGCUGAGACGCGAAAGCGUGGGGAGCAAACAGG
rnacentral:rRNA from 1 species